rnacentral:misc_RNA from 1 species
AACGCACAUUGCGCCCUCUGGUAUUCCGGGGGGCAUGCCUGUUCGAGCGUCAUUACAACCCUCAAGCUCUGCUUGGUAUUAGGCGUCGCCUGUCAAGGCGCGCCCCAAAACUAGUGGCGGUGCCAUCUGGCUUCAAGCGUAGUAAUUUGUCUCGCUUCGGAGAACCAGUUGUGUGCUCGCCAACAACCCCAAAUUCUAUCAAGGUUGACCUCGGAUCAGGUAGGGAUACCCGCUGAACUUAA